CCAAUAGCGUAUAUUAAAGUUGUUGCAGUUAAAAAGCUCGUAGUUGAAUUUCAGGCCUGGCUGGACGGUCCGCCCUUCGGGUGAGUACUGUCUGUGGUCGGGUCCUACCUUCUGGCGAAGCGUCAUGGCCUUAACCGGCCGUGGUGGGGAACCAGGACUUUUACUGUGAAAAAAUUAGAGUGUUCAAAGCAGGCAAUCGCUUGGAUACAUUAGCAUGGAAUAAUGGAAUAGGACAAUGGUUCUAUUUGUUGGUUUCUAGGACCGUUGUAAUGAUUAAUAGGGAUAGUUGGGGGCAUUAGUAUUCAAUUGUCAGAGGUGAAAUUCUUGGAUUUAUUGAAGACUAACUACUGCGAAAGCAUUUGCCAAGGAUGUUUUCAUUAAUCAAGAACGAAAGUUAGGGGAUCGAAGACGAUCAGAUACCGUCGUAGUCUUAACCAUAAACUAUGCCGACUAGGAAUCGGGCGAUGUUGACAAAAUGACGCGCUCGGCACCUCAUG
rnacentral:rRNA from 1 species